rnacentral:rRNA from 1 species
GACCUCGGAUCAGGUAGGAAUACCCGCUGAACUUAAGCAUAUCAAUAAGCCGGAGGAAGGAA